rnacentral:rRNA from 1 species
UACGUAGGGUGCGAGCGUUGUCCGGAAUUAUUGGGCGUAAAGAGCUUGUAGGCGGUUUGUCGCGUCUGCUGUGAAAAUCCGGGGCUCAACUCCGGACUUGCAGUGGGUACGGGCAGGCUAGAGUGUGGUAGGGGAGACUGGAAUUCCUGGUGUAGCGGUGGAAUGCGCAGAUAUCAGGAGGAACACCGGUGGCGAAGGCGGGUCUCUGGGCCGUAACUGACGCUGAGGAGCGAAAGCAUGGGGGAGCGAACAGG